rnacentral:sRNA from 1 species
CCCUGCCAUGAUUUGCACCUGAUAUUCAGGGAUCACUCUCAAAAUGUGAGCCAUAAAGAAGAAGGCUGUGUCGCUGGGAGUGAGAAUCUGCAGCAACAACAUAGAAAUAAGCCCCUGCCGGGCUCCCAGUGGUUUCUGAGAAAAAUGGGCUUCUCUUUCUACUGUACUUGGCAGCUGGAAAAGCUAUUGAGUCCUUUAGUCACUUCAAAGUAGCACUUUAGCCAUUGAGUGCUACUGUGCUGGGGUGGGUGGUGAAUGAGGCCCCACCCUUGGCCUCAGGGCAUUCUGGGUAAUUAUGGGAGGGGUGUGACAGAAGGUGCCAGGAGUGGGCAAGGAGCGGACUUCGUGGAGGGAAGUUGGUAAGUAAGUUUCACAGGAUGACAAGGGAGUCUGCAGCCCACUGAGGGCUCGAGGAUCAGCCAGGCCGUUAAAUGCCGUGUCUGCCUGGUAGCUCUGGGAACGGGCGAUUCAGGGAGCCUUACUCGUUGAGUAGAAAUCCAGCUCAAUACAUUGGUUUUGAUGUGUUCAUCUGUGAACCUGGGAGGCGCCUGCAUCUUCUUGGCCUUUUCUCCUGCUGACUCUUAACAGUGCACUGCCGUGUUUGAUCUUGUUUUUCAGAAAUUGCCCAGGUUAUUGCCUCAUACACCGCCACCGGCCCCGAGCAGCUCACUCUCGCCCCUGGUCAGCUGAUUUUGAUCCGAAAAAAGAACCCAGGUGGAUGGUGGGAAGGAGAGCUGCAAGCACGUGGGAAAAAGCGCCAGAUAGGCUGGUUCCCAGCUAAUUAUGUAAAGCUUCUAAGCCCUGGGACGAGCAAAAUCACUCCAACAGAGCCACCUAAGUCAACAGCAUUAGCGGCAGUGUGCCAGGUGAUUGGGAUGUACGACUACACCGCGCAGAAUGACGAUGAGCUGGCCUUCAACAAGGGCCAGAUCAUCAACGUCCUCAACAAGGAGGACCCUGACUGGUGGAAAGGAGAAGUCAAUGGACAAGUGGGGCUCUUCCCAUCCAAUUAUGUGAAGCUGACCACAGACAUGGACCCAAGCCAGCAAUGAAUCAUAUGUUGUCCAUCCCCCCCUCAGGCUUGAAAGUCCUCAAAGAGACC